UUCAGGUGACACUCCAGAGAUGAGCUCUUCGCCAGGCUUAGUGACUGUGAUACUCUUAAUGCUUCGACAAACCCAUGGAAACUCAGUGACCCAGAUGGAUGGCCAAGUGAGUCGUUCCGAAGGGACUUCUGUGACUAUAAACUGCACUUAUUCAGCCGCUGGGUACCCUGCUCUUUUCUGGUAUGUCCAGUAUCCUGGAGAAGGUCCACAGCUCCUCCUGAAAGCCAUGAAGGCCAGUGACAAGGGAACCAACAAAGGUUUUGAAGCCACAUAUAAUACAGAAACUACCUCCUUCCACUUGGAGAAAGCCUCAGUGCAAGAGUCAGACUCGGCUGUGUACUACUGUGCUCUGAGUGACACAGUGACGGAAACUGCAGGGGGAGCUGAGCACAAACUCUGA